rnacentral:precursor_RNA from 7 species
UUAGUUUUCAGCCAGAUCAGCCCCAUGAUCUGAUUCAUUGCCUGGCUCUGCAAAUGCUUCCCUAAUGUUGCAGACUUGGCCAUGGGUAGGAGCAAUGGGAAUCAUAUCUUCAGCAUCAAGC